GACGAACGCUGGCGGCGUGCUUAACACAUGCAAGUCGAACGGAAAGGCUCCAGCUUGCUUGAGUACUCGAGUGGCGAACGGGUGAGUAACACGUGGGUAAUCUGCCCUGCACUCUGGGAUAAGCCUGGGAAACUGGGUCUAAUACUGGAUAUGACCUUUCUCCUUAUGGGGUUUGGUGGAAAGUUUUUCGGUGUAGGAUGAGCCCGCGGCCUCUCAGCUUGUUGGUGGGGUGAUGGCCUACCAAGGUGACGACGGGUAGCCGGCCUGAGAGGGUGAUCGGCAAAAUUGGGACGGGGAUACGGCCAGGACUCCUACGGGAGGCAGCAGGGGGGAAUAUUGCACAAUGGGCGGAAGCCGAAUGCAGCAACGCCGCGUGAGGGAGGACGGCCUUCGGGUUUAAAACCUCUUUCAGCAGGAACGAAGCGUAAGUGACGGUACCUGCAGAAGAAGCACCGGCUAACUAUGUG
rnacentral:rRNA from 1 species